AAAGAAACCAAAUAUAAAAAGAAAGAAAGAAAACAAGAGAACAAAGAUGUGAGUUCUCGUUUACACGGUUAAUUUGUUUUGUUCUUUUUGCUCAUUUU
rnacentral:ribozyme from 1 species